UACGGGAGGCAGCAGUGGGGAAUAUUGGACAAUGGGCGAAAGCCUGAUCCAGCCAUGCCGCAUGAGUGAAGAAGGCCUUCGGGUUGUAAAGCUCUUUUAGUGAGAAAGAUAAUGACGGUACUCACAGAAGAAGUCCUGGCUAACUCCGUGCCAGCAGCCGCGGUAAUACGGAGAGGGCUAGCGUUAUUCGGAAUUAUUGGGCGUAAAGAGCGCGUAGGCUGAUUAGUAGUUAAAAGUGAAAUCCCAAAGCUUAACUUUGGAAUUGCUUUUUAAAACUGCUAGUCUAGAGAUUUGAAAGAGGAUAGAGGAAUUCCUAGUGUAGAGGUGAAAUUCGUAAAUAUUAGGAGGAACACCAGUGGCGAAGGCGUCUAUCUGGUUCAAAUCUGACGCUGAGGCGCGAAGGGCGUGGGGAGCGAAACAGGGAUUAGAUACC
rnacentral:rRNA from 1 species